rnacentral:rRNA from 1 species
AUUGAACGCUGGCGGCAGGCCUAACACAUGCAAGUCGAGCGAGCGACGGGUGGGUGAGGAAUGUGAAGGUAUCUGCUCGCUGGGGGGGGCUAACGACAGGAAACGGUAGCUAAUACUGCAUACUAUCGGACGAAGCCAGAUUGGAUUAGCUAGUAGGUGAGGUACUGGCUAACCAAGGCGCCGAUCCCUAGCUGGUCUGAGAGGAUGAUCAGCCACACUGGGACUGAGACACGGCCCAGACUCCUACGGGAGGCAGCAGUGGGGAAUAUUGCACAAGGGGCGCAAGCCUGAUGCAGCCAUGCCGCGUGUAUGAAGAAGGCCCUAGGGUUGUAAAGUACUUUCAGUCGGGAGGCGUUACCGACAGAAUAAGCACCGGCUAACUUCGUGCCAGCAGCCGCGGUAAUUC